AACAUGGCGGAUGACGUGGACCAGCAACAAACAACAAACACUGUAGAAGAGCCCCUGGAUCUCAUUAGGCUUAGCUCAGAUGAGCGAAUUAAUGUGAAAAUGAGAAAUGACAGAGAGCUUCGAGGCAGGUUACAUGCUUAUGAUCAACAUUUAAAUAUGAUAUUGGGAGAUGUGGAAGAAACUGUAACUGCUAUAGAAAUUGAUGAGGAAACCUAUGAAGAAAUCUAUAAAUCAACAAAACGGAAUAUCCCGAUGCUCUUUGUCUGGGGAGAUGGUGUUGCUCUAGUUGUCCCUCCAUUGAGAGUUGACUAA